AGCUUUGCGCAGUGGCAGUAUCAUAGCCAAUGAGGUUUAUCCGAGGCGCGAUUAUUGCUAAUUGAAACAGAAACACAUACUCCUUUCAAAAUAUUACUGCUCAUUGACAAUG
ensembl:snRNA U4 U4 spliceosomal RNA